rnacentral:tRNA from 2 species
GCGCCCGUAGCUCAGUGGUCAACGGUUCUCUUCGGGGAGCCAAAGAGCAGCGGUCUUUCAAGCCGCAGGCCGCGGGUUCGAUUCCCGCCGGGCGCA